UCAGGAAUUUCAUACUUUUGGAGUGGAGCUAUCAAAUAUAUGUGUGCUCGAUGUUGGUGUUUUAAUCCGGAUCUCUCGCUGAAGGUGCUCGAUGUUGGUGUUUUAAUACUGCUACCGUACUUCAAGCAAAGUUCUCCUAGAGGUGUGAUGUUGGUGGUGAUUUUCUUAUCCGGGGAUAUGGAUGUGGCGGGUCUGUGGGCACCAUGCUGACGCGGAGAAGGAGGUGCAGGUAGCGGGGCGCUUGAGGUGAGGUGGCUGCAGGGUCGCUCGAGAAGAACAGGCUCAUCAGCACCACCUGGAUGCCUUCGUCAUCAGCAAUGUGGACAAGGUAAAGUGGGAUGGCGGGAUUGUAUAGUGCUCAUAAGCCAGUCCGGGCAUUGUCCUUCCUCGAAUGAAUUUGAGACUACUCCUCAUAUGUUAAUCAGUUGCUCCUCCCUAGCUUUGGUUUGGUCUGAACUUCAAAGUUUUCA